rnacentral:rRNA from 1 species
GUUGAUAAGGUUAAGUGAAUAAGGGCGCACGGUGGAUGCCUUGGCACUAGGAGCCGAUGAAGGACGGGACUAACACCGAUAUGCUUUGGGGAGCUGUACGUAAGCUAUGAUCCAGAGAUUUCCGAAUGGGGGAACCCAACAUCUUUAAUAGGAUGUUACGAUUGUGUGAAUACAUAGCACAUUCGAGGUAGACGCAGAGAACUGAAACAUCUAAGUACCUGCAGGAAGAGAAAGAAAAUUCGAUUCCCUGAGUAGCGGCGAGCGAAACGGGAAAAGCCCAAACCAGCAAGCUUGCUUGUUGGGGUUGUAGGACUCCAAUAUGGUAGUUCUUUCAGAUAGUCGAAUGACUUGGAAAAGUCAGUCAAAGAGGGUAAAAACCCCGUAGACGAAAUGUGGAAGACACCUAGGAGGAUCCUGAGUACGGCGGAACACGAGAAAUUCCGUCGGAAUCCGGGAGGACCAUCUCCCAAGGCUAAAUACUCCCUAGUGACCGAUAGUGAACCAGUACCGUGAGGGAAAGGUGAAAAGCACCCCGGAAGGGGAGUGAAAUAGAACCUGAAACCGUGUGCCUACAACAAGUCAAAGCCCGUUAAUGGGUGAUGGCGUGCCUUUUGUAGAAUGAACCGGCGAGUUACGAUUGCAUGCGAGGUUAAGUUGAAGAGACGGAGCCGCAGCGAAAGCGAGUCUGAAUAGGGCGUUUGAGUAUGUAGUCGUAGACCCGAAACCAUGUGAUCUACCCAUGUCCAGGUUGAAGGUGCGGUAAAACGCACUGGAGGACCGAACCCACGUACGUUGAAAAGUGCGGGGAUGAGGUGUGGGUAGCGGAGAAAUUCCAAACGAACUUGGAGAUAGCUGGUUCUCUCCGAAAUAGCUUUAGGGCUAGCCUCGGAAUUGAGAAUGAUGGAGGUAGAGCACUGUUUGGACUAGGGGCCCAUCUCGGGUUACCGAAUUCAGAUAAACUCCGAAUGCCAUUCAUUCAUAUCCGGGAGUCAGACUGUGAGUGAUAAGAUCCAUAGUCGAAAGGGAAACAGCCCAGACCACCAGCUAAGGUCCCAAAAUAUAUGUUAAGUGGAAAAGGAUGUGGGGUUGCACAGACAACUAGGAUGUUGGCUUAGAAGCAGCCACCAUUUAAAGAGUGCGUAAUAGCUCACUAGUCGAGUGACCCUGCGCCGAAAAUGUACCGGGGCUAAACAUAUUACCGAAGCUGUGGAGUACACCUUUAGGUGUAUUGGUAGGAGAGCGUUCUAAGGGCGUUGAAGGCAGAUCGUGAGGACUGCUGGAGCGCUUAGAAGUGAGAAUGCCGGUAUGAGUAGCGAAAGACAGGUGAGAAUCCUGUCCACCGAAUGACUAAGGUUUCCUGGGGAAGGCUCGUCCGCCCAGGGUUAGUCGGGACCUAAGCCGAGGCCGACAGGCGUAGGCGAUGGAUAACAGGUUGAUAUUCCUGUACCCGUUGUUUUUGUUUGAGCAAUGGAGGGACGCAGGAGGCUAAGGAAUGCAGACGAUCGGAAAUGUCUGUCCAAGCAGUAAGUCUGAAGAGGAGUCAAAUGCUUCUUUUCUUA